rnacentral:rRNA from 1 species
UACAGAGGGGGCAAGCGUUGUCCGGAAUUACUGGGCGUACAGCGCGCGCAGGCGGUUCCUAACGUGCCGUGUGACAGACGUCGGCUUAACCGACGUAGGCCAGGGUACACGGAGGAACUUGAGGCAGAGAGAGGGAUGUGGAAUACCCGGUGGAGCGGUGAAAUGCGUAGAUAUUGGGAAGAACACCGGUGGCGAAGGCGGCGACCUGGUCCGAUACUGACGCUGAGGCGCGAAAGCGUGGGGAGCAAACAGG